rnacentral:rRNA from 1 species
UUNNCCAAAAGUCAAUUGGNAGGUUGUGCCCUUGAGGCGUGGCUUCCGGAGCUAACGCGUUAAGUCGACCGCCUGGGGAGUACGGCCGCAAGGUUAAAACUCAAAUGAAUUGACGGGGGCCCGCACAAGCGGUGGAGCAUGUGGUUUAAUUCGAUGCAACGCGAAGAACCUUACCUACUCUUGACAUCCACGGAAUUUAGCAGAGAUGCUUUGGUGCCUUCGGGAACCGUGAGACAGGUGCUGCAUGGCUGUCGUCAGCUCGUGUUGUGAAAUGUUGGGUUAAGUCCCGCAACGAGCGCAACCCUUAUCCUUUGUUGCCAGCGGUUCGGCCGGGAACUCAAAGGAGACUGCCAGUGAUAAACUGGAGGAAGGUGGGGAUGACGUCAAGUCAUCAUGGCCCUUACGAGUAGGGCUACACACGUGCUACAAUGGCAUAUACAAAGAGAAGCGACCUCGCGAGAGCAAGCGGACCUCAUAAAGUAUGUCGUAGUCCGGAUUGGAGUCUGCAACUCGACUCCAUGAAGUCGGAAUCGCUAGUAAUCGUGGAUCAGAAUGCCACGGUGAAUACGUUCCCGGGCCUUGUACACACCGCCCGUCACACCAUGGGAGUGGGUUGCAAAAGAAGUAGGUAGCUUAACCUUCGGGAGGGCGCUUACCACUUUGUGAUUCAUGACUGGGGUGAAGUCGUAACAAGGUAACCGAC